GGGGAAUAUUGCACAAUGGGCGCAAGCCUGAUGCAGCCAUGCCGCGUGUGUGAAGAAGGCCUUCGGGUUGUAAAGCACUUUCAGCGGGGAGGAAGGCGGUGAGGUUAAUAACCUCACCGAUUGACGUUACCCGCAGAAGAAGCACCGGCUAACUCCGUGCCAGCAGCCGCGGUAAUACGGAGGGUGCAAGCGUUAAUCGGAAUUACUGGGCGUAAAGCGCACGCAGGCGGUCUGUCAAGUCGGAUGUGAAAGCCCCGGGAUCAACCUGGGAACUGCAUUCGAAACUGGCAGGCUAGAGUCGUGUAGAGGGGGGUAGAAUUCCAGGUGUAGCGGUGAAAUGCGUAGAGAUCUGGAGGAAUACCGGUGGCGAAGGCGGCCCCCUGGACAAAGACUGACGCUCAGGGGCGAAAGCGUGGGGAGCAAAC
rnacentral:rRNA from 1 species